UAUCUGUUGUUGGGCUUAAGAAGGACUAU
rnacentral:piRNA from 1 species